CGGGCGGAGCGCUCUCAGACAGCGGAGCGCACACCGCCCGGCCCUCGGUGCCAGCGCGGAUCCCCAGGCUCCUCGUCAGUCCGCGGGGCGGCAGCGGCGCUUGUGGGAAGACCGGCGAUGAACCUAAGGGCGGCUCCGGGCAGGGGCGCGCGAUCUUAACGACAGUCGCCUUCUGAACGCUGAGCGGGAGGGGACGAAGGGACGGUGGUCCCGGCCCCAUCCGCGCACCGGGCAGGCGCGGAUACCCGCGUGGGACAGACACCUGGAGCGCAGCUGCCAGGUAUGAACAGUAAUGGCACGUAUUUUGGUUAUGAGUCACCCAGUGGACUGUCGAUUGAAUGAACCGUAUGCAUCCCCAUCAUGAUGUACAACACCAAGUCUCCUCACUACCAGUCUGUGCUUCUCUCAAUUACUUGGAUGUGACUACUCACCCAUGCCCGUGCCUUCAACACCAGUUGGUUCCCUCACACCGUCUUCCUUGUCAUUCAAUCAGUGGAGCUUUCCUCACCCUGGACCAGGUGAAGUUCCCUCACCAUGCUUUAGAGCAGUUGAUAGUCUAGUGUCUCUUUUCCUUGAAAGAGUGAAAUUCUGUGUGGGCAGGUCACAUGUAUGAGCAAACCAUAUGGGAAGGCAGUAUGUUUGCACUAUUUAUGUAUUUUGUAUUAAACAUGCAUAUGUAUUUGUAGACAACUUAAUUACAAAUGAUUCACUGAGUAUAUGAAACGUGGAAAUGGUCAAAUAUAUCACCAGUCUCAAAAAUAUUUGUUACGAGCUUACUAAAUACUAGAGAGAAGAAAUAAUGCAUUUGUUCAAGAAAUAGUAAAUGUCUCUGCUAUGCCUGGCACUGUGCUAGAUAUGAGAGCUAUAAGGCACAAUCCAUGUCUUCAAAGUUUUAGACAAUUUAGUUUGGAAGACAGGACAUAGACACAGAGAGCUAUGAUCAUGUAGGUCAAUUUAGUAUAGAAAUACUUAGUCUAAGAAUUUAUUCUUGCUGGUUAGUUACUUAGACAAAAACUGCUUUGAAUGUAAAUUUCCUAGUUCCGGCUUGCUUUUCUUCCCCUUUUCUCCUUCCCCACACCCACUUUUCUGAACACAAAUAUAAGAUUUAUUUAAUUCAGUUCAUUUGGCUUCCUGACAGCAGAGUGUCAUCGGGGUAAUCACCAUAAAAGGACUUUGUUUUAUUUUUUAAUCACCCAGCACAUUUUUAUUGUCAGAAUAGUUACUAAUCAUUCAUUUUUAUUUACUCUAGCUUGGGAAGUUUUGCAAAAAUCCUGUGACUAUUCAGAAAAAAAAAAUGCUUUAAAUUAUGAGUUCUCUCCUACCCUGCCGGCGAGUGAACACACCACAGACUUGAACUUCAUGAUUCCGUUAUGUUAGGCAUUGAGGAAUAGGAAAUACCUGCUUUGCCCCUUGCCAGCUACGGCCUCCUGACCCUAGGACCCCUUCACCUUCUCCCAGAGUUUAUUCUGCACCAGAACAUCAGAGCAUGGUUGCAUUUUUACACUGGAUUUCAAUUAGUUAUUCUUUUUAUUUAUUCAUUUAUUUACUUAUUUUGAGACAGUGCCUUGCUUUGUCGCCCAGGCUGGAGUGCAGUGGUGGAAUCUCAGCUCACUGCAACCUCUUCGUCCUGAGUUCAAGAGAUUCUCCUGCCUCAGCCUCCUGAGUAGUUGGGAUUACAGGUGUGCGCCAGCAUGCCUGGCUAAUUUUUGUAUUUUUAGUAGAGACAGGGUUUUGCCGUGUUGGCCAGGCUGGUCUCGAACUCCUGACCUCAAGUGAUCCAUCCACCUCAGCCUCCCAAAGUGCUGGGAUUACAAAACAUGAGCCACUGCCACUGCAACCUACCUAGAAUAAUUAUUUUGAGCAACUGAGAUAGAAAACAAAGAUAGAGCUGCUUAGUUUCUGUAAACUCUUGGGCUCUUUUAAAAUAAGGACUAUUUUAUAGCUUUGUUAAACUAAAUUCAAGCAUUUAAAGUAAUGUAUUGAAGAACAUAUGUAAGAAAAGAAGAGGUAGGAUAAGAAUAAACAUUGCAUAGACUAAAGAAAGCUGUAACGUAAUAGAUGAAUUCUUUGGGAGCUAAUGGAAAUGCGUAAAAUGCUGAGUUGAGGAUUUGAGGGUUGGGUGGCUUGGGAUUUGAGGAAUUUUCAUUAGAGUCCAGAUUUAGCCCCCCACAAAGUGCCAAGUCUGGUGAUCUUCUUCCCCACUUAACUCAGAAUGUGUCUCUUCUAAUCUCAUUCAAAAGCCUAUUUGAAAAGCGUCUGAUGGUUAUAUGGACAUUGUGUUGGUGAGCACACAUAAACUGUAGUUCUUGCCACUUACAAAGCUCAUUAAGAACUCAAAUUCAUGUUCACUGAGAUAUCAGUAUCAUAAUCCUAAGGUAUAAUUAAUUUUGUAAGCUUCUAAUCUAGGUUCUAGUUAGAGUGAUUCAAAUAAUUUCAUGAUUUGCAACUAGAAGAGGCAGCCAUUCUUCUGGCAAGCAACAAUUAAAUAUAUAUAUUUAAUUCUUCUUUAUUCUUUAACUCUUUAAUUCUUUUUAUAAUUUUUUUUUUUCAUUUUGAGGCAGAGUCUCACUCCAUCACCCAGGCUGGAGAGCAGUGGUGGGAUCUCAGCUCACUGCAACUUCUGCAGUGAGUCCUUAAAGUAUGUG
ensembl:lncRNA